GUGACUCGGCCGCUCACCACAUCUACCUGAUCCGACCUGAACAUGGGCAACACGGUUGAAUAUCAAAAGAAAUCGUCAGCGCAUGCUCCAACUGUUUUGCUUCAAGUGCAGGAAGUCAACAAGAGGACGCUGGGAAAGCUGAUCAUCAAGACUGUCGGCCACGAAGGUACAGAGACAGACGAGAAGGGGACGUAUCUACGGCGACAGAUCCAAGUCUGAAUCUCUUACCUGGAACAUUACACGCCUGCAGUGUGGCGGGAUGCUACAGUGACGUUCAUUGGCUUACAGGGUCAUGAAUAUGUGGUAUCCUCUGGCCGCGGACGCUACAGAUUCAUGGUCCACCUUGAUGCUCGAGACGAAAUAACCUUUUCAAAAAUGAAAUAAGAAAAUGCUAUAAUGAGACUGCAACUAGAGCAUAACUACACCGUUACAUGUGCACAUGUGUAUGCCAGUCUCCUUUCGAAACGUGUGUGGCGGUCGGGUAGUCUAGUGGUUAAAGCGUUCGCUCGUCACGCCGAA